GUGGCAGUGUUUAAUCACCUAUUGUUUCUCCCACUAACCUGCCCCCUCAAAGCCCAUCGCAGGUGGCCUUCAUCAAAGAGAUAAUCAGAUACUCACUGUCUUCAGCAUUGGUGUCUUCUAUUCUCAACGGCAUUUCUGGUGGCCACCCCAGGAGUCUCCCUGACCUGUUUUAAAACCCUUGGAAAUUAAGGAGAGAAUCCACUACAUAUAUUCCUUUGAAAGUUUCCACCAUAUAUGUUCAAAAAUUGCUGAAUGAGCACAAGGAUUUGAAGGUGCUAAAGCAAGGGAUAAACCAAAAGGACAGCCAGUAGGUGAGGAGAGGCCAUGGAAUACCCGCCAACAAGAUAAUCAUCGCUGGAAUAAUAGGGACCUGUCUGAAUAACCCAAGAAGAGGGGAAACCAGCAUGUCACCAGCUGCUGUGAUGGAGUCAGGUAGCACAGGGAAGUGGCUCAGAGCAGGGACUCUGGAGCUAGACUGCCUGCGUUUGAGAUCCUGCUCAGCCAAUUACUAGCUGGGUGAUCUUGGCAAGGUUUUUUGUUAAAACUGUUAUGCCUUAAUAUCUUUAAAAUAGGGAUAAUAAUA
rnacentral:lncRNA from 1 species